rnacentral:rRNA from 1 species
UACAGAGGUCCCAAGCGUUGUUCGGAUUCACUGGGCGUAAAGGGUGCGUAGGUGGCUGGGAAAGUUCGGUGUGAAAGCUCGGAGCUCAACUCCGAAAUGGCACUGAAUACUAUCUGGCUUGAGGGUCGGAGGGGAGACUGGAAUUCCCGGUGUAGCAGUGAAAUGCGUAGAUAUCGAGAGGAACACCAGUGGCGAAGGCGAGUCUCUGGACGACUCCUGACACUGAGGCACGAAAGCUAGGGGAGCAAACAGG